UACCCAAGGUUGGGGCUACGGUGAAG
rnacentral:piRNA from 1 species